rnacentral:lncRNA from 1 species
AUGCUUACUUUCAAUAUCAGUAUUGGUAGACUAAAAUAAAAAUAUGUCGUUUUUUGUGGUGUUCAUAACUAUUAUGAUUCUCCAUCACACUUUCACAGCUGCGCAAAUUCAAGGCAAUUCAUCUUCGAAUAAUCAAAACGCCUCGGGGAAUAUUAUUACGGGCUCAACUGUUGACGGAACCGCACUUGUGGGUAAUACAAUAGUCACUUCUACACAAAGACCAUGCGGCAUAUUACAACAAUUUGCAGCUAUAUUCCUGCCGGGCGUUUGCUAAAGUACCAAAAUACUCUAGCUAAGAAUAAAAUAAUAUAGGUAACUUAUUGAAAGAUGACUUACUGUUGAUUAUUUGAAGAAUACUAAUGAAUAUAAAAAUAAAAUUCCAACAUCGUAACUGAGAACUUCCUCUUUUAUGGAAAUUCUCAUUAAAAAUAACUAAGUACCUUAUGAAUGACAUGAAUUUGCACACAUCUGUAUUGCUUGCAAAGUUUAUUCAGGAGACUAGCGUUCCGAGGAACCUACUUGUCGCAUCCGGAUAAAGAACAACUUAUAAUAUAUACUCCCGAAUAAAGUAGCCUAUUUCCCUAAUUCUAUUGGUAAAA